rnacentral:rRNA from 1 species
GAUGAACGCUGGCGGCGUGCUUAACACAUGCAAGUCGAACGGAAAGGCCCAAGCUUGCUUGGGUACUCGAGUGGCGAACGGGUGAGUAACACGUGGGUGAUCUGCCCUGCACUUCGGGAUAAGCCUGGGAAACUGGGUCUAAUACCGGAUAGGACGAUGGUUUGGAUGCCAUUGUGGAAAGUUUUUUCGGUGUGGGAUGAGCUCGCGGCCUAUCAGCUUGUUGGUGGGGUAAUGGCCUACCAAGGCGUCGACGGGUAGCCGGCCUGAGAGGGUGUACGGCCACAUUGGGACUGGGAUACGGCCCAGACCCCUACGGGGGGCAGCAGGGGGGAAUAUUGCACAAUGGGCGCAAGCCUGAUGCAGCGACGCCGGGUGGGGGAUGACGGCCUUCGGGUUGGAAACCCCUUUCCCUAGGGACGGAGCGUUUUUGUGACGGUACCUGGAGAAGAAGCCCCGGCUAACUACGU